CGGCGCGACAUGUUAAAAAACCCUCCCCCUUUUUUACAAAAUACUCAAUAACUCAAAAAUGAAAUUUUGAAUCAUCACCAAAAAGUAUACAGAUAUUAAGAUUAAUAUAACUAAGAAGUGUGUAAAGUUUUAAGCAAUAAUCAAGAAUCGUUUUUGAGAUACGGUGCGACAUGUGAAAAAAAACACACCCCUGUUUUAGUUACAAAGCGCCGUAACUCAAAAAGUUUAAAUCUUAUUUUCACCAAAAAGUAUACAGAUCAUUUGACCAUCAUAAAAAACAACUAUAUUAAGUUUCAUGAAAUUUAGAUAAGUCGUUCUCAAGUUACGGUGCAACAUGUUUACGACGGACAGACAGACGAACAGACAGACAGACAGACAGACAGACAGACAGACGGACA
rnacentral:lncRNA from 1 species